GAUGAACGCUGGCGGCGUGCCUAAUACAUGCAAGUCGAGCGAACGGACGAGAAGCUUGCUUCUCUGAUGUUAGCGGCGGACGGGUGAGUAACACGUGGAUAACCUACCUAUAAGACUGGGAUAACUUCGGGAAACCGGAGCUAAAACCGGAUAAUAUUUUGAACCGCAUGGUUCAAAAGUGAAAGACGGUCUUGCUGUCACUUAUAGAUGGAUCCGCGCUGCAUUAGCUAGUUGGUAAGGUAACGGCUUACCAAGGCAACGAUGCAUAGCUGACCUGAGAGGGUGAUCGGCCACACUGGAACUGAGACACGGUCCAGACUCCUACGGGAGGCAGCAGUAGGGAAUCUUCCGCAAUGGGCGAAAGCCUGACGGAGCAACGCCGCGUGAGUGAUGAAGGUCUUCGGAUCGUAAAACUCUGUUAUUAGGGAAGAACAUAUGUGUAAGUAACUGUGCACAUCUUGACGGUACCUAAUCAGAAAGCCACGGCUAACUACGUG
rnacentral:rRNA from 1 species